GAGUUUGAUCUUGGCUCAGAUUGAACGCUGGCGGCAUGCUUUACACAUGCAAGUCGAACGGCAGCGCGGGGCAACCUGGCGGCGAGUGGCGAACGGGUGAGUAAUAUAUCGGAACGUACCCAAGAGUGGGGGAUAACGUAGCGAAAGUUACGCUAAUACCGCAUACGAUCUAAGGAUGAAAGUGGGGGAUCGCAAGACCUCAUGCUCCUGGAGCGGCCGAUAUCUGAUUAGCUAGUUGGUGAGGUAAAGGCUCACCAAGGCGACGAUCAGUAGCUGGUCUGAGAGGACGACCAGCCACACUGGAACUGAGACACGGUCCAGACUCCUACGGGAGGCAGCAGUGGGGAAUUUUGGACAAUGGGCGCAAGCCUGAUCCAGCAAUGCCGCGUGAGUGAAGAAGGCCUUCGGUUG
rnacentral:rRNA from 1 species